rnacentral:rRNA from 1 species
UACGUAGGGUGCGAGCGUUAAUCGGAAUUACUGGGCGUAAAGCGUGCGCAGGCGGUUUUGUAAGCCAGAUGUGAAAUCCCCGGGCUUAACCUGGGAAUGGCAUUUGGGACUGCAAGGCUGGAGUGCGGCAGAGGAAAGUGGAAUUCCUGGUGUAGCGGUGAAAUGCGUAGAUAUCAGGAGGAACACCGGUGGCGAAGGCGGCUUUCUGGACGGAUACUGACGCUGAGACGCGAAAGCGUGGGGAGCAAACAGG